rnacentral:rRNA from 1 species
UACGUAGGGGGCAAGCGUUGUUCGGAAUUACUGGACGUAAAGGGCUCGUAGGCGGCCAACUAAGUCAGACGUGAAAUCCCUCGGCUUAACCGGGGAACUGCGUCUGAUACUGGAUGGCUUGAGUUUGGGAGAGGGAUGCGGAAUUCCAGGUGUAGCGGUGAAAUGCGUAGAUAUCUGGAGGAACACCGGUGGCGAAGGCGGCAUCCUGGACCAACACUGACGCUGAGUGAGCGAAAGCCAGGGGAGCAAACGGG